GGGCGGAUACCAGAGUGGCCAAAUGGGGCAGACUGUAAAUCUGCUGGCGCACGCCUUCGGUGGUUCGAAUCCAUCUCCGCCCACCG
rnacentral:tRNA from 1 species